rnacentral:lncRNA from 1 species
UGAUAUGCCAAGUGCUAGGAUUAUUGGUUGCCAGAUUUGUUUUGAAUACGGGCAUGCGAGGAAGAGGUGAUCGCUUGUUUUUUCCUCUGAAUUGCAGAAAGAACGUGGGAUGUGGACUUGAAUAUUUUUUUUCUUAGAUUGCUCGUGGUUAGGAUCUUGUUUUGGAAAACCAACCAAUUGAAGAUUUUAUUCUUUCUAGUAUUGGAAACCUCCGGUUGAUCUUUGCAAAAGUUGAUAUGGUAAUAAAACAAACUGAUUGAUAUGGUAAUAAAAUAUGUAGACAUACAUACUGAUUUCAAACUGUUUUAUGCAACUGUUUUAUGCAAUUGUGGAUUAUCUACCUUCACUACUUUAUGCGACUGUGGGAGAUGGUUACGUGCGUUCUUUUUGUGGAUGCUCCUUAUCUAUUGCCUGUAACUAGUUUACCUUUCUGUAUUUAUUUUCUCUGAUUCAUCACAAGAAUUACAGCAUUUACAAGUCUACUGAAGUUACAGUAACAUUUUCCAACUCAGUUGCUCUUAAUCUGCUUUUUCUAUUACUUCUACAUGGGUAAUACACUAUUGUUGUGUUUAUCUUUACAUUGCUUCAAAUAAUGUGUUGAUAUAUGGGAGGAUAUUGAGUCAUUAUGGUUUUUCUUGGCCG